UACAGAGGUCUCAAGCGUUAUCCGGAAUUAUUGGGCGUAAAGAGCUCGUAGGCGGUUUGUCGCGUCUGCCGUGAAAGUCCGGGGCUCAACUCCGGAUCUGCGGUGGGUACGGGCAGACUAGAGUGAUGUAGGGGAGACUGGAAUUCCUGGUGUAGCGGUGAAAUGCGCAGAUAUCAGGAGGAACACCGAUGGCGAAGGCAGGUCUCUGGGCAUUAACUGACGCUGAGGAGCGAAAGCAUGGGGAGCGAACAGG
rnacentral:rRNA from 1 species